UACGUAGGAUGCAAGCGUUGUCCGGAAUUAUUGGGCGUAAAGCGAACGUAGGCGGUUUCUUAAGAUUGGUCUUAAGGACCGGGCUCAACCCCGGGAAUGGAUCGAUAACUGGGAGACUGGAGGACGUCAGAGGAAAGUGGAAUUCCGAGUGUAGAGGUGAAAUUCGUAGAUAUUCGGAGGAACACCAGAAGCGAAGGCGGCCAACUGGCCCGAUACUGACGCUGAGGCGCGAAAGCGUGGGGAGCAAACAGG
rnacentral:rRNA from 1 species